GGGCCCGCACAAGCAGUGGAGCAUGUGGUUUAAUUCGAAGAUACGCGCAGAACCUUACCAACACUUGACAUGUUCGUCGCAACUCUAAGAGAUUAGAGUUUUCGGUUCGGCCGGACGAAACACAGGUGCUGCAUGGCUGUCGUCAGCUCGUGUCGUGAGAUGUUGGGUUAAGUCCCGCAACGAGCGCAACCCUCACUUUUAGUUGCCAUCAUUAAGUUGGGCACUCUGAAAGAACUGCCAGUGAUAAGCUGGAGGAAGGUGGGGAUGACGUCAAGUCCUCAUGGCCCUUACGUGUUGGGCUACACACGUGCUACAAUGGUAUCUACAACAGGAAGCAAAACGGCGACGUUAAGCAAAAUCCUCAAAAAAUACCUCAGUUCGGAUUGCACUCUGCAACUCGAGUGCAUGAAGCUGGAAUU
rnacentral:rRNA from 1 species